rnacentral:rRNA from 1 species
GACGAACGCUGGCGGCGUGCCUAAUACAUGCAAGUUGAGCGCUGAAGGUUGGUACUUGUACCGACUGGAUGAGCAGCGAACGGGUGAGUAACGCGUGGGGAAUCUGCCUUUGAGCGGGGGACAACAUUUGGAAACGAAUGCUAAUACCGCAUAAAAACUUUAAACACAAGUUUUAAGUUUGAAAGAUGCAAUUGCAUCACUCAAUGAUGAUCCCGCGUUUUAUUAAGUAGUUGGUGAGGUAAAGGCCUACCAAGGCGAUGGUACAUAGCCGACCUGAGAGGGGGGACGGCCAAAUUGGGACCGAGACACGGCCCAAAACUCUACGGGAGGGAGCAGGAGGGAAUCUUCGGGAAAAGACGGAAGGCUGACCGGGGAACGCCGGGGGAGUGAAGAAGGUUUUCGGAUCGGAAAACUCUGUUGGUAGAGAAGAACGUUGGUGAGAGUGGAAAGCUCAUCAAGUGACGGUAACUACCCAGAAAGGGACGGCUAACUACGUG